rnacentral:rRNA from 1 species
GAUGUCUGAAUGGGGGAACCCACCUACUUUAAGGUAGGUAUUGCAACAUGAAUACAUAGUGUUGCAAGGCGAACGAGGGGAAGUGAAACAUCUCAGUACCCUUAGGAAAAGAAAUCAAUUGAGAUUCCCUCAGUAGCGGCGAGCGAACGGGGAUCAGCCCAUUAAGUUAUGUGUGUUUUAGUGGAACGCUCUGGGAAGUGCGAACGUAGAGGGUGAUAUUCCCGUACACGAAAGGGCACACAUAAUGAUGACGAGUAGGGCGAGGCACGUGAAACCUUGUCUGAAUAUGGGGGGACCAUCCUCCAAGGCUAAAUACUCCUGACUGACCGAUAGUGAACCAGUACCGUGAGGGAAAGGCGAAAAGAACCCCUGUGAGGGGAGUGAAAUAGAUCCUGAAACCGCAUGCAUACAAGCAGUGGGAGCACCUUCGUGGUGUGACUGCGUACCUUUUGUAUAAUGGGU